AUUUGAGAACAACUGGAGCAAAAGGUAUCAUUCUGAUGUCCCUCCUAGAGGAAGUUUUGAAUGUGAGACACAGUUAAGUGUUAAUUUUGUGACAUCUUUCAUCAAAAGUAGCAUGGUUCAGAAUCAUUCUUUGUCAAAUAGGUUAGCUGCUGAGGACCUUUUUGAGUGGAAGUGGAGUUUGAGACCUGGGUGCCAGAGAUGACUUCAGGAAUUGUAAUUGAUGGAAAAAGGAAGAUCUUGACGCCUUUAAGAAAGAGAAAACUUUGAGAUCUGAUUGUGCAAAGAAAAUUUUCAUCAAAGGAGCAAGAAAUUCUUCAUAACUUCAACACAACAUGGCCUUUGGGAACAGAAUAAAACACAAAUAAGGAAAGGCGGAAAAUGAUUGACACAUGCACUGUUCUUGGUUUGAAAUUUAACAAUCAUGCUAGUUAUAGGAUACAGCUUUGAAAUUCGAGUCAAUGAGAGGAUGAAAAAUACUGAGGAAGAGUAGGUAAAUUGAAUUCUUGCUACAUGAACAAAAACACUGGAUCUGAAGGUAAGGUACAUUUUAUAUAAUGACCCUCGUCUUCUGACACUAUUUAUUCAAUGCUUUGGUAUUUGUUCGUAUAUUAUGUUCCAAAAACAUAUCAAUGAUUCUGGUUAUUCUUAAUUAAUGAACAUGCAUUUCAGCUGAUUUAAUAUU